CCAAACUUGGUCAUUUAGAGGAAGUAAAAGUCGUAACAAGGUCUCCGUAGGUGAACCUGCGGAGGGAUCAUUAGAGAGAGGAGCGGGGCCCCUGGGCCCCGCCCGCACACCCUUUGAACCCAACCCCCCGCGAUUGCCUCGGGGGAGGCCAGGGCCCCCCGGCCCUGCCCCCCCGGCGGCCGCGCACUCAGACUCUGCGUCCCGCCGUCGAUUUUGAAUGAGGAAUUGAACAAAAACUUUCAACAGUGGAUCUCUUGGCUCCGGCAUCGAUGAAGAACGCAGC
rnacentral:misc_RNA from 1 species